rnacentral:rRNA from 1 species
AUUCUACGGGAGGCAGCAGUGGGGAAUAUUGCACAAUGGGCGCAAGCCUGAUGCAGCCAUGCCGCGUGUAUGAAGAAGGCCUUCGGGUUGUAAAGUACUUUCAGUAGGGAGGAAGGUGGUUAAGCUAAUACCUUAAUCAUUUGACGUUACCUACAGAAGAAGCACCGGCUAACUCCGUGCCAGCAGCCGCGGUAAUAAU